rnacentral:rRNA from 1 species
GACGAACGCUGGCGGCGUGCCUAACACAUGCAAGUCGAGCGGAGAUACAUUGAAGAGCAAUCAGAUAUGUAUCUUAGCGGCGGACGGGUGAGUAACGCGUGGGCAACCUGCCUCAUACUGGGGGAUAACACAGGGAAACUUGUGCUAAUACCGCAUAAUAUCAUUAUAGGGCAUCCUGUGAUGAUCAAAGGAGCAAUCCGGUGUGAGAUGGGCCCGCGUCCAAUUAGCUAGUUGGUGGGGUAACGGCCCACCAAGGCGACGAUUGGUAGCCGAACUGAGAGGUUGAUCGGCCACAUUGGGACUGAGACACGGCCCAGACUCCUACGGGAGGCAGCAGUGGGGAAUAUUGCGCAAUGGGGGAAACCCUGACGCAGCAACGCCGCGUGAAGGAUGAAGGUCUUCGGAUUGUAAACUUCUUUGAUGAGGGACGAACACAAUGACGGUACCUCAAAACAAGCCACGGCUAACUACGUGCCAGCAGCCG